rnacentral:rRNA from 1 species
UACGGAGGGGGCAAGCGUUGUUCGGAAUUACUGGGCGUAAAGAGCUCGUAGGUGGUUUGUCGCGUUGUUCGUGAAAACUCACAGCUCAACUGUGGGCGUGCGGGCGAUACGGGCAGACUGGAGUACUGCAGGGGAGACUGGAAUUCCUGGUGUAGCGGUGGAAUGCGCAGAUAUCAGGAGGAACACCGGUGGCGAAGGCGGGUCUCUGGGCAGUAACUGACGCUGAGGAGCGAAAGCGUGGGGAGCGAACAGG